rnacentral:sRNA from 1 species
UGAGCUGCAGUGCUGGUGCAAGCUACCAGGUGGACAGCUGUGCGGCUCUUUACAGAGCAUGGGCCUCAGCAGGGCAAGCUUCCUCCCCACCGCCCUGCCAAUGUGCCUCAACACUGACCUGGUGGGCACCAUCUUUAAAGGCCAGAGGGCAGUUCAGUCUCCAUGGCCCACUCUGUCCUGGACUGA